rnacentral:rRNA from 1 species
AACUUUCAACAACGGAUCUCUGGCUCUCGCAUCGAUGAAGAACGCAGCGAAAUGCGAUAAGUAAUGUGAAUUGCAGAAUUCAGUGAAUCAUCGAAUCUUUGAACGCACCUUGCGCUCUUUGGUAUUCCGAAGAGCAUGCCUGUUUGAGUGUCA